rnacentral:rRNA from 1 species
UACGGAGGGUGCAAGCGUUAAUCGGAUUUAUUGGGCGUAAAGGGCGCGUAGGCGGGAGAGAAAGUUAAAUGUGAAAGACCGAGGCUCAACUUCGGAAACGCAUCUAAUACUCCUCUUCUAGAGGGUAGGCGGAGAAAAUGGAAUUCCACGUGUAGCGGUGAAAUGCGUAGAUAUGUGGAAGAACACCAGUGGCGAAGGCGAUUUUCUAGCUUACUCCUGACGCUGAGGCGCGAAAGCUAGGGGAGCAAACAGG